UACGGGGGGGGCGAGCGUUGUCCGAAGUUACUGGGCGUAAAGGGCGCGUAGGCGGGGUGUCACGUCCGCUGUGAAAGCCUGGAGCUUAACUCCAGCGGGUCGGUGGAUACGGACACUCUUGAAGGCGUUAGGGGAAGAUGGAAUUACCCGUGGAGCGGUGAAAUGCGUAGAGAUGGGUAGGAACACCGGUGGCGAAGGCGG
rnacentral:rRNA from 1 species